rnacentral:lncRNA from 1 species
UGAACAUGUCAAGCCCAAUCAGUCCAUCGCCUGUGGGGGGUGGGGGGACAGCGAGGGACGGUGACCUCAUGCACUGCUGUCCCCGAUAGCACCGGGCUCCUCCUGUGCAUGUAAUCUGCUUGGCCCAGGGAACUUCACAUCCAAUCUCCACACAUCUUGCGCCUGGGCAGAGGCCACGCAGAGCAGAGGAGGCAGCUGUCAAGAGAGCGAGACCUCACUGGAGGCCAUCCCAUCACCAAAGGCAGCCACCAGCCAGGCGGAUGUGGCCCUCAUCCAGACCUCCCGCCAGAUGGCCACCCACUGGUCAUUCCAAGACCUCAUCAGGAGCAAAGGCCUCUCUGCCUCUGCCUACCACACGGCUGUGCCCUGCCCUUCAGCUCUCUUCUGAAGGAGAGAGGAGACCCGUGGCAGGACCAGGGUGGGGCAUGAAGCUGGCUCUGGGAGCAGAACGGGCCCUCUGGGGGUGUGUGAACCCUUCCAGUCACAGACGGACGCCAGCCAUGCCCAGGACCUCGGGAAUGCUCACACCAGCACGAGGGUGAGGCCAGUUAGCACAUCUUUGACAACCUCGCAGAGGAGCAAACCCAGCUGACCUGCCUCAGAAGGGCUGCCAGAGCCCACAAAUACAAAUAUAGGAUGUCCGAAUCAAGGUGUCCACAGAGCCACACUCCCCUCUGGAGCUCCAGGGAAGAACCUGCCCCACGGCGCACUCUUAGCCCCUGCCAUUGUGGUCAUCCUGGGCAUUGCAUUACUCCAUUCUCUGCCUCCCCUGAGCCACAUCCAUUAGAUCGUCACCUGUCUAGAUCUCCCUUUGGGUCCCACUGGGGAGGGGGACUAGUGGCGUUCUCCCUGCACAUCUGUGUGUCGUCACAUGUCCCUGGGUCUGCUGUCU